rnacentral:rRNA from 1 species
AGUGAACGCUGGCGGUAGGCCUAACACAUGCAAGUCGAACGGCAGCACAGUAAGAGCUUGCUCUUACGGGUGGCGAGUGGCGGACGGGUGAGGAAUACAUCGGAAUCUACUUUUUCGUGGGGGAUAACGUAGGGAAACUUAGGCUAAUACAGCAUACGACCUACGGGGGAAAGCAGGGGAUCUUCGGAGCUUGCGGGAUUGAAUGAGCCGAUGCGGGAUUAGAUAGUUGGCGGGGUAACGACCCACCAAGGCGACGAUCCGUAGCUGGUCUGGGAGGAUGAUCAGCAACACUGGAACUGAGACACGGUCCAGACUCCAACGGGAAGCAGCAGUCGGGAAUGUUGGACAAUGGGCGCAAUCCUUAUCCAGCCAUACCGCGUGGGUGAAGAAGGCUUUCGGGUUGUAAAGCCCUUUUGUUGUGAAAGAAAAGCAGCAGAGUAAUACCCCGCUGUUCUGACGGUACCCAAAGAAUAAGCACCGGCUAACUUCGUG